rnacentral:lncRNA from 1 species
AUUUGUCCCUUCCCUGCGUCCCACUUACAACUGUUGUGUUUUCUAAUCUUUCUGUCCCUUUCUUCCCAUCACAGAGGCAGCUGCUGGUGUUUGGAAGAGCCCUGCAGAGUGUUUGGAAGUGCCCUGCAGAGGCACUGGACCUGCUGGGCUGGGCAUGAUGGACUUGCUGCGAAGCCAGGAGCCGAGGAGACCCAUCCGACAGCAAACGGAGCUGCCAGCUGACUCCCUCUGCCUUCCAGAAGGAGACGUCUCACCAUCAAGCAGAGGCCAGCCAGCACUCGGGAGAUGAAUCUGCCCCAGGUUGUCCAGCUUCAAGACAAGAGCAAGACCUCCAUCACAAGGAUUAUUUCCACCAGCUCCUCUGCACCACUGAAAGGGAAGAGUUCAUUGUGCCAGUUUGGGCCAUUGAUGCCCGAGCCAUCCUGGACUUCCCUGGCCUGCUGGACUUCAGUCUGUCGGGUCAAGUGCAGCAC